rnacentral:rRNA from 1 species
CCUACGGGUGGCUGCAGUGGGGAAUAUUGCACAAUGGGGGAAACCCUGAUGCAGCGACGCCGCGUGAAGGAAGAAGUAUUUCGGUAUGUAAACUUCUAUCAGCAGGGAAGAAAAUGACGGUACCUGACUAAGAAGCCCCGGCUAACUACGUGCCAGCAGCCGCGGUAAUACGUAGGGGGCAAGCGUUAUCCGGAUUUACUGGGUGUAAAGGGAGCGUAGGCGGCGAUGCAAGUCAGAAGUGAAAGCCCGGGGCUCAACUCCGGGACUGCUUUUGAAACUGUGUUGCUAGAUUGCAGGAGAGGUAAGUGGAAUUCCUAGUGUAGCGGUGAAAUGCGUAGAUAGUAGGAGGAACACCAGUGGCGAAGGCAGUUCACUGGACUGCAACUGACACUGAGGCUCGAAAGUGUGGGUAUCAAACAGGAUUAGAUACCCGGGUAGUC